CCGUUAAACCCCAACUUCUGAAUGUUGACCUCGGAUCAGGUAGGAAUACCCGCUGAACUUAAGCAUAUC
rnacentral:rRNA from 1 species